rnacentral:rRNA from 1 species
AUUGAACGCUGGCGGCAUGCUUUACACAUGCAAGUCGAACGGUAACAGGGAGCUUGCUCCGCUGACGAGUGGCGAACGGGUGAGUAAUGUAUCGGAACGUACCCAAGAGUGGGGGAUAACGUAGCGAAAGUUACGCUAAUACCGCAUACGAUCCAAGGAUGAAAGCAGGGGACCUUCGGGCCUUGUGCUCCUGGAGCGGCCGAUAUCUGAUUAGCUAGUUGGUGAGGUAAAGGCUCACCAAGGCGACGAUCAGUAGCUGGUCUGAGAGGACGACCAGCCACACUGGGACUGAGACACGGCCCAGACUCCUACGGGAGGCAGCAGUGGGGAAUUUUGGACAAUGGGGGCAACCCUGAUCCAGCAAUGCCGCGUGAGUGAAGAAGGCCUUCGGGUUGUAAAGCUCUUUUGUCAGGGAAGAAACGGUCGUGGCUAAUAUCCAUGGCUAAUGACGGUACCUGAAGAAUAAGCACCGGCUAACUACGUGCCAGCCGCCGCAGUAAGAC